rnacentral:rRNA from 1 species
GUGGGGAAUAUUGGACAAUGGGCGCAAGCCUGAUCCAGCAAUGCCGCGUGGGUGAAGAAGGCCUUCGGGUUGUAAAGCUCUUUCAGUGGGGACGAUAAUGACGGUACCCACAGAAGAAGCCCCGGCUAACUUCGUGCCAGCAGCCGCGGUAAUACGAAGGGGGCUAGCGUUGUUCGGAUUUACUGGGCGUAAAGCGCACGUAGGCGGAUCGUUAAGUCGGGGGUGAAAUCCUGGAGCUCAACUCCAGAACUGCCUUCGAUACUGGCGAUCUUGAGUCCGGAAGAGGUGAGUGGAACUCCUAGUGUAGAGGUGGAAUUCGUAGAUAUUAGGAAGAACACCAGUGGCGAAGGCGGCUCACUGGUCCGAUACUGACGCUGAGGUGCGAAAGCGUGGGGAGCAAACAGGAUUAGAAACCCUGGUAGUCC